rnacentral:rRNA from 1 species
AUUGAACGCUGGCGGCAGGCCUAACACAUGCAAGUCGAACGGUAGCACAGAGAGCUUGCUCUCGGGUGACGAGUGGCGGACGGGUGAGUAAUGUCUGGGAAACUGCCCGAUGGAGGGGGAUAACUACUGGAAACGGUAGCUAAUACCGCAUAAUGUCGCAAGACCAAAGAGGGGGACCUUCGGGCCUCUUGCCAUCGGAUGUGCCCAGAUGGGAUUAGCUUGUUGGUGAGGUAAUGGCUCACCAAGGCGACGAUCCCUAGCUGGUCUGAGAGGAUGACCAGCCCAAACGGAACCGGGAACAGGGUCCAACCUCCUAGGGAGGGCGCCGGGGGGAAUAAUGGAAAAAGGGGGGCAGGCCUAAUGAGGCAAUGCGGGGGGUGGAAAGAAGGCCUUGGGGUUGAAAGGCACUUUCGGGGGGAAGAAAGGCAAUACGGUUAAAAACCGUGUUGAUGGAGGUACCCGCAGAAGAAGCACCGGCUAACUCCGUG